UGAUUUGUGCUUGGCAGUUGCUAUUUAGGGAGGAUCUCCUUGAAUAGAGGAAAGUCCGAACUCCGCAGAACAAAGUGCCGGGUAACUCCCGGGGUUCAUAUUUUGAACACGGAAAGUGCCACAGAAAAAAUACCGUCCCGCUUUAGCGGGAUAAGGGUGAAAAGGCAGGGUAAGAGCCUACCGCUCUAAAAGUAAUUUUAGAGGUCUCCAUUGGGAGAGUUCCGAAUUAUUUCGGAAUCAGGGCAAACCCCACUUGGUGCAAGGUCAAGCAGAAGGUUUCUGAGGUUUUUGCCUCAGAUAGAGUUGUUCGCUCUAACUCCUUCGGGUAGAUCGCUAGAUUCCGAAAGUAAUUUCGGAACGAGACAAAUAACUGCCUUCCCGGUUAAACCCGGGAAUACAGAAUUCGGCUUAUAGCACAAAUCAUACU
rnacentral:RNase_P_RNA from 1 species